rnacentral:rRNA from 1 species
AGUGGCGGACGGGUGAGUAACGCGUGAGAAUCUGCCUUGGGGUCGGGGACAACCACUGGAAACGGUGGCUAAUACCGGAUACGCCUUCGGGUAAAAGAUUUAUUGCCCUAAGAGGAGCUCGCGUCUGAUUAGCUAGUUGGUGAGGUAAGAGCUCACCAAGGCAGCGAUCAGUAGCUGGUCUGAGAGGACGAUCAGCCACACUGGGACUGAGACACGGCCCAGACUCCUACGGGAGGCAGCAGUGGGGAAUUUUCCGCAAUGGGCGAAAGCCUGACGGAGCAAGACCGCGUGAGGGAGGAAGGCUCUUGGGUUGUAAACCUCUUUUCUCAGGGAAGAAGCUCUGACGGUACCUGAGGAAUCAGCCUCGGCUAACUCCGUGCCAGCAGCCGCGGUAAUACGGAGGAGGCAAGCGUUAUCCGGAAUUAUUGGGCGUAAAGCGUCCGCAGGUGGCGAUUCAAGUCUGCUGUCAAAGCACGGGGCUUAACUCCGUAAAGGCAGUGGAAACUGAAUAGCUAGAGUGCCGUAGGGGUAGAGGGAAUUCCCGGUGUAGCGGUGAAAUUCGUAGAGAUCGGGAAGAACAUCGGUGGCGAAAGCGCUCUACUGGACGGCAACUGACACUCAGGGACGAAAGCUAGGGGAGCGAAUGGGAUUAGAUACCCC